AGGAGGAAUUAGGAGGAUGCAGGAAGAGGCAGGAGGAGGAGGCAGGUUGAGGAAGGAGGAGGAGGCAGGAGGAUGCAGGAGGAGGCAGGAGGAGGAGCCAGGUGAGGCAGGAGAAGGAGGAGGAGGCUGGAAGAGGAGGCAGGAGGAGGAGGCAGGUGGAAGCAGGAGGAGGCAGGAAGAUGCAGGAGGAGGAGGAGGCAGGUGGAGACAGUAGGAGGAGGCCAGAGGAGGGGGCAGGAGGAGACAGGUGGAGGCAGGUUGAGGCAGGAGGAGGAGGAAGAAGGCAGGAGGAGACAGGAGGAAGCAGGAGGAAGCAGGAGGAGGAGACA
rnacentral:lncRNA from 1 species